AGUGAACGCUGGCGGCAGGCCUAACACAUGCAAGUCGAGCGGAUGAAGAGAGCUUGCUCCUGGAUUCAGCGGCGGAGGGGUGAGUAAUGCCGAGAAAUCUGGCUGGUAGUGGGGGAGAACGGCCGGAAACGGGGGAUAAUACGGCAUAAGUCCUGAGGGAGAAAGGGGGGGAGCUUCGGACCUCACGCUCUCAGAUGAGCCUAGGUCGGAUUAGCUAGUUGGUGGGGUAAAGGCCUACCAAGGCGACGAUCCGUAACUGGUCUGAGAGGAUGAUCAGUCACACUGGAACUGAGACACGGUCCAGACUCCUACGGGAGGCAGCAGUGGGGAAUAUUGGACAAUGGGCGCAAGCCUGAUCCAGCCAUGCCGCGUGUGUGAAGAAGGUCUUCGGAUUGUAAAGCCCUUUAAGUUGGGAGGAAGGGCAGUAAGUUAAUACCUUGCUGUUUUGACGUUACCCACAGAAUAAGCACCGGCUAACUUCGUG
rnacentral:rRNA from 1 species